GCCUGUUUAUCAAAAACAUGUCUUUUUGAUAAUAAUUUAAAGUCUAAUCUGCCCCCUGAUAAUUUAUUGAAGGGCUGCAGUAUUUUGACUGUACAAAGGUAGCAUAAUCAUUAGUCUCUUAAUUGGUGACUUGUAUGAAGGAUUGGAUGAGAUAUAAACUGUCUUAAAUAUAAAAAAAAAUUGAAUUUAAUUUUUUAAUUAAAAAGUUAAAAUAAAUUAAAAAGACGAGAAGACCCUAUAGAGUUUUAUAUUAUUUUAACUUUAAUUUAUUUAUAAAUUUAUUGAAUUUAAAUUUAAAAUAAUAUUUUAUUGGGGGGAUAAAAAAAUAAGAAAAACUUUUUUUUAAGUUAACCAUAAAUAAAUGAAUAUUUGAUCCAUUAAUAUUGAUUAUAAGAAAAAAUUACCUUAGGGAUAACAGCGUAAUUUUUUUUUUUAGUUUUUAUAAGAAGGAAAGUUUGCGACUUCGAUGUUGGAUUAAGAUAAAAUUUAA
rnacentral:rRNA from 1 species